rnacentral:rRNA from 1 species
UGCCUACGGGAGGCAGCAGUGAGGAAUAUUGGUCAAUGGGCUUACGCCUGAACCAGCCAAGUCGCGUGAGGGAAGACUGCCCUAUGGGUUGUAAACCUCUUUUGUCAGGGAGCAACGCCGGCUACGUGUAGCCGGACUGAGAGUACCUGAAGAAAAAGCAUCGGCUAACUCCGUGCCAGCAGCCGCGGUAAUACGUAUGGGGCAAGCGUUAUCCGGAUUUACUGGGUGUAAAGGGAGCGCAGGCGGCUUGGCAAGUCUGAUGUGAAAGGCUGGGGCUCAACCCCAGGACUGCAUCGGAAACUGUU